UACGUAGGGUGCAAGCGUUAAUCGGAAUUACUGGGCGUAAAGCGUGUGUAGGCGGACUGGUAAGUACCUUGUGAAAUCCCACGGCUCAACCGUGGAACUGCUCGGUAUACUGCUUGUCUUGAGCCACUUAGGGGCUGUCGGAACAAACGGUGGAGCGGUGAAAUGCGUAGAUAUCAGGAGGAACACCAAUGGCGAAGGCAGCACUCUGGGACGGUACUGACGCUGAGACGCGAAAGCGUGGGAGCAAACAGG
rnacentral:rRNA from 1 species